UACGAAGGGGGCUAGCGUUGCUCGGAAUCACUGGGCGUAAAGGGUGCGUAGGCGGGUCUUUAAGUCAGGGGUGAAAUCCUGGGAGCUCAACUCCAGAACUGCCUUUGAUACUGAGGAUCUUGAGUUCGGGGAGAGGUGAGUGGGAACUGCGAGUGUAGAGGUGAAAUUCGUAGAUAUUCGCAAGAACACCAGUGGCGAAGGCGGCUCACUGGCCCGAUACUGACGCUGAGGCACGAAAAGCGUGGGGGAGCAAACAGGG
rnacentral:rRNA from 1 species